AAAAAAAAAGUUUGUAUGGAGUUUGCCAACGUUUGCCAACGUUUGCCGCUAGGGGCGCUGUUCCAACUCCAUACAAAAUUGAGUUA
rnacentral:pre_miRNA from 1 species